rnacentral:rRNA from 1 species
AGAGUUUGAUCAUGGCUCAGGAUGAACGCUAGCUACAGGCUUAACACAUGCAAGUCGAGGGGCAUCAGUUUGGUUUGCUUGCAAACCAAAGCUGGCGACCGGCGCACGGGUGAGUAACACGUAUCCAACCUGCCUCAUACUCGGGGAUAGCCUUUCGAAAGAAAGAUUAAUAUCCGAUAGCAUAUAUUUCCCGCAUGGGUUUUAUAUUAAAGAAAUUCGGUAUGAGAUGGGGAUGCGUUCCAUUAGUUUGUUGGCGGGGUAACGGCCACCAAGACUACGAUGGAUAGGGGUUCUGAGAGGAAGGUCCCCCANAUUGGAACUGAGACACGGUCCAAACGUCCUACGGGAGGCA